CGUUUAUAACGUGAAUUCCAACAUCUUGUUCACCGAAUUAUGAGGUGUUUUCUGGAUUGAAGAAGAUGUUACCAAAGUGUUAUCAGUUUGUAAUAGUGGUAUGGAUUUUCCUCUCACUACAAGGUACGUUUUAUGUCGUUGAUAACACGUAUUUCAAAUGUACAGCGCUACUGUACUUAUUUGUCUAAUAAUAGCGAUAAGAUAAGAUAAGAUAACAUAAUUUAAUACUCUGAGGUGAUACAAUAAUUUACAACAAAAAAAUACAUUACACAAAUAUAGAGUAAAGGCUACAAAGAAAUAACCAUAAGGGCUAAUCAAGCUAAGUAGCACAAUCGGUUCCCUUGCGGUUCCAUAGCUGUAAUGACUAUAUCUCAAAACUACUAAAACUACAGCCUUAAUGUGAAGGAUUCGAUUAAACUCCACAGGCACUAAUUAUUCCAAACUCUGCCGUUGUCGGAGCGAAGUUAAAUUUAUGAGGAAUGGAUCAGAAUAACUGCUUGCAAUAAACAAUGUACUGUACAGAGCGACUAAAUAGUCAACCAGUUUAGUUAAUUAGCUUGCUUUAUCUUGAUGCAUGUUGCAUUAGCUUGAUGCAUGAGAUUUUAAGAUUUCGUAAAAUACUCAAUUUAAGCAAAGCUAUAAAUUGCGGUUAUUGAGCGCCGCGGCGCUCUUUAAAUUUUCAGAGCUUCAGAUGCGGCGCUCAAUCGGGGGCGGCGCUCUUUAAAAACAUCUUUUAUUUGUGAAUUAUAUCACUGAACUUUUAACAAUAAAAUAAACAAGUUUUGAAUGUCUUUGUGACUAAAUGUCCCCAUUUGACGGUGGAAAAUUAUUACACUGUUUAGUGCGGCGCUCAUCCGGGGGCGGCGCUCUUUAAAAAAAUUUGAUCUCAAAUGCGGCGCUCAUUCGAGGGCGGCGCUCAAUCGGGGGCGGCGCUGAAUCGGGGGCGGCGCUCAAACGAGUAAAUACGGUAAUGAUAAUAUGUUCUAGAAGACUCCAUUUGCUCGAGGGUGUUUUCAGUCUGCCAACGCAUCUGCGUCACAACAAUCCAUACAUUACAACACUUCCCUGCCAGUAUAUAAUUAUUUAUUGCAUUUCUUCACACAAGUGGGUUACAAAUCUACGAGUAACAUGCUUAGCUUUAUACAGGAAUAUUGAUUUUUCUAAUUAACAGUCCUUACAACACACCAUCUAGAGACGCACUUCACCACGUGAAGCGCAAUCACUGCUCAUUCAGGUCGCACUGAAGACCUGAAUGAGCAGACCUAGAGACUCGAUGUGGUCAGUCAGGUUAUCAGUUGCUGCCCGGGUAAUCUGCCCUAUAUCAAUAGUUGUUCACCAGUCCAACUAGGUCUCAAUGUCGACGGCCUGACGGAUCUGAACGGGGGUUCGCCUGUUCCCCUGUUAUCUAGAGGUCCGCCUGUUCCUCUAGAACAACCUACAGUUUUUGCAUGUAUCCUCAGCCAGCUUUGAGUACCCUGGGUAAUGUGCCCUAUACCAAUAGUUGUUCACCAGUCCAACUAGGUUUCAACUCGCUGAACGACAGGCACAGAGUCAACGGCAUGCCCUCUGGAGUCCAGAGAUUCGCCUGUUUCUCUAGAUAAAACUUAGAUUACCGAGAGCCUCUAGACAGUUCGGCCGGAACUGUUUUCGAGCACUUCUCUGCCCAAAAUAUAUGCCACGAAAAUGUGUUCCAAGUUAUUGUUGUCUUGCUUAGUCGCCAGUUGUUCGAUUUUAACUAUAUGUCUCUUUCCAACAUAUUCAACUUCAUUAAUACUGUAAUUUAACCACUAUAGACAACAAAGAAACAUUUAGGAAUGUUUGAUAUUGGUUAUCCAUGCAAUUUCAAAAGCAUGUCAAAGACACUAUACCAUCAACACACGUAAAACGCACAAGAAACAAGCUGUCGACAAGUUGUGUUUCCACUGCUUGUCCCCAGUUGUUGUAACAAGUUUGGAACAAGCUGUUAACAACAAGUCUAAUGCAGUCAUGAUAUAACAAGAAUGUUACAAGGUUGCCGGAGACGGCUUGUUGGCAGACUUGCUACAAGAUGUGAGAUUUUUGCGUGUGUAAACACAAGCACACAGAAGCGCAACAGGAGUCCAUUAUUUACUGCGUUAUUUAUUUUUAUUUUUGUUUUUCUGUUUCAGGCGCUGCUUGUUUCUUCGUGAAACAUGUGCAGUCAGGGAUGUGUAUUCAUGUCACAAGUGUACUACAGACGAACGAGUCUUGGGGAAGCUUAACUUUUGUGGAACUUUCCAACAACUGUCUGGAUCCAGCUGCUCAGUCUCGGUUUCUUGAUAAUAGUGCCAUGUUCAAUUUGGAAAGAAAGGGAUGUUUCGAGGGAACAGUUAGGAGUGAUUUUGGUUAUUAUCUUCCUAUGUUGUAUUUGUUCGUUGCUACAGAUCCUUCAGCUAAUUGUCGUGAUAAGGACCAUGCUAUAACCCAGACCUCUUGGGGAGGUUUAUCUGUAUAUGAAGUACGUCGUAAAGGGACGCGAUGUGCAGUCCCUGGUAAAGAUGAUCGACUUGCUACAAACCCAGGAAUAGAUCCCUACAUCGCAUUGACGAAAGAUUGUAACGAUGCAGAGGAUAAACGUUUUAAUUUUGGUAAGUUGUUUUUAUUUGUAUGCAGUUAAUUUGUUUUAUGCCUUUGCACAGUAAAAGUUCUUAUUUGUGGUUUUGCAGUUUGCUUUUCAUAUUUACUUAUUAAAUUUCUCACGUACCCACAAUUGCCGUUAAGCUAGUCUAGAGGAUAAACGGAAACCACUUGUAUUCAAACUUAGCUGUAUAUAGUAAAUGAUCUCAACAUUACUUUAUUUUACUUUAUUUUCAUUUAGUGCUCGUCAUUUCUAAGUUUUUGUUCUGUUCCAGGUUCAGUGACGUGUCAUGGAAAUAUGGUAGAGAAUGCCAACUGUCCUAAAGAUCAGUACAUGGUGGUCAAGAAUGCAUCUUACCGUGGAU